GACGGAGGGUGCUAGCGUUGUUCGGAAUCACUGGGCGUAAAGGGCGCGCAGGCGGCCGCCCGCGUCGGACGUGAAAGCCCGGGGCUCAACCCCGGAACGGCGUCCGAUACGGGGCGGCUCGAGGCCGGGAGAGGGGGGUGGAAUUCCUGGUGUAGCGGUGAAAUGCGCAGAUAUCAGGAAGAACACCCGUGGCGAAGGCGGCUCUCUGGGACGGUACUGACGCUGAGACGCGAAAGCGUGGGGAGCGAACAGGAUUAGAAACCCC
rnacentral:rRNA from 1 species